rnacentral:rRNA from 1 species
GAGGUAUCGCGCUUCCUAGAGAUAGGUGGUUCCCUUUCGGGGACGCAGAGACAGGUGGUGCAUGGCUGUCGUCAGCUCGUGUCGUGAGAUGUUGGGUUAAGUCCCGCAACGAGCGCAACCCUUGUCUUUAGUUGCCAUCAUUAAGUUGGGCACUCUAAAGAGACUGCCGGUGACAAACCGGAGGAAGGUGGGGAUGACGUCAAGUCAUCAUGCCCCUUAUGACCUGGGCUACACACGUGCUACAAUGGGCAGUACAACGAGAAGCGAACCCGCGAGGGUAAGCGGAUCUCUUAAAGCUGUUCUCAGUUCGGACUGCAGGCUGCAACUCGCCUGCACGAAGCUGGAAUCGCUAGUAAUCGCGGAUCAGCACGCCGCGGUGAAUACGUUCCCGGGUCUG